AACGAACGCUGGCGGCAUGCCUAACACAUGCAAGUCGAACGAGACCUUCGGGCCUAGUGGCGCACGGGUGCGUAACGCGGGGGAACCUGCCCUUAGGUUCGGAAUAACUCCCCGAAAGGGGUGCUAAUACCGGAUAAUGUCUUCGGACCAAAGAUCUAUCGCCUUUGGAUGGGCCCGCGUUGGAUUAGCUAGUUGGUAGGGUAAAAGCCUACCAAGGCGACGAUCCAUAGCUGGUCUGAGAGGAUGAUCAGCCACACUGGGACUGAGACACGGCCCAGACUCCUACGGGAGGCAGCAGUGGGGAAUAUUGGACAAUGGGCGAAAGCCUGAUCCAGCAAUGCCGCGUGAGUGAUGAAGGCCUUAGGGUUGUAAAGCUCUUUUACCCGGGAUGAUAAUGACAGUACCGGGAGAAUAAGCGCCGGCUAACUCCGUG
rnacentral:rRNA from 1 species